rnacentral:rRNA from 1 species
GAUCCUGGCUCAGGAUGAACGCUAGCGACAGGCUUAACACAUGCAAGUCGAGGGGCAGCAUGAUUUGUGGCAAUACAGAUUGAUGGCGACCGGCGCACGGGUGAGUAACGCGUAUGCAACUUACCUAUCAGAGGGGGAUAGCCCGGCGAAAGUCGGAUUAAUACCCCCAUAAAACAGGGUCCGGCCAUGGGAAGUAUUUGUUUAAAGAAUUCUAUCGCUGAUAGAUAGGCGAUGCG